rnacentral:rRNA from 1 species
UACGUAGGGGGCGAGCGUUGUCCGGAUUUAUUGGGCGUAAAGAGCUCGUAGGCGGUUUGGUAAGUCGGGUGUGAAAUCUCCACGCUCAACGUGGAGGGGCCACUCGAUACUGCCAUGACUCGAGUCCGGUAGAGGAGUGUGGAAUUCCCGGUGUAGCGGUGAAAUGCGCAGAUAUCGGGAGGAACACCCGUAGCGAAGGCGGCACUCUGGGCCGGAACUGACGCUGGGGAGCGAAAGCGUGGGGAGCAAACAGG